rnacentral:ncRNA from 1 species
UUGACUGGUAUGGUACACCUGUGAAACGUUAAAGCAGUGUCCUAAGGUGAGCUCAGGAAGGACAGAAACCUCCCGUGGAGAGGAAGGGCAAAAGCUUGCUAGAUCUUGAUUUUCAGUAUGAAUACAGACUAUGAAAGUGGGGCCUCAUGAGCCUUCUGACCUUUUCGGUUUAAAGCAGGAG